UACGGAGGGGGCUAGCGUUGUUCGGAAUUACUGGGCGUAAAGCGCGCGUAGGCGGAUCUGCAAGUCGGGGGUGAAAUCCCGAGGCUCAACCUCGGAACUGCCUUCGAUACUGCGGGUCUCGAGUCCGGGAGAGGUGAGUGGAAUUCCGAGUGUAGAGGUGAAAUUCGUAGAUAUUCGCAAGAACACCAGUGGCGAAGGCGGCUCACUGGCCCGGUACUGACGCUGAGGUGCGAAAGCGUGGGGAGCAAACAGG
rnacentral:rRNA from 1 species